rnacentral:rRNA from 1 species
GACGAACCGAGCGAACGUUAUUCGGAAUCACUGGGCUUAAAGGGCGCGUAGGCGGGCGGUCAAGUCAGGGGUGAAAGCCUCCAGCUCAACUGGAGAAGUGCCUUUGAUACUGGCCGCCUCGAGGGAGGUAGGGGCGUGCGGAACUUCCGGUGGAGCGGUGAAAUGCGUAGAUAUCGGAAGGAACACCGGUGGCGAAAGCGGCGCGCUGGACCUCUUCUGACGCUGAGGCGCGAAAGCCAGGGGAGCAAACGGG